rnacentral:rRNA from 1 species
UACAGGGGGGGCAAGCGUUGUUCGGAAUUACUGGGCGUAAAGGGCUCGUAGGCGGCCAACUAAGUCCGACGUGAAAUCCCAAAGCUUAACUUUGGAACUGCGUCGGAUACUGGAUGGCUUGAAUUCGGGAGAGGGAUGCAGAAUUCCAGGUGUAGCGGUGAAAUGCGUAGAUAUCUGGAGGAACACCGGUGGCGAAGGCGGCAUCCUGGACCGGUAUUGACGCUGAGGCGCGAAAGCCAGGGGAGCAAACGGG